AGUGAACGCUGGCGGUAGGCCUAACACAUGCAAGUCGAACGGCAGCACAGUAAGAGCUUGCUCUUACGGGUGGCGAGUGGCGGACGGGUGAGGAAUACAUCGGAAUCUACUUUUUCGUGGGGGAUAACGUGGGGAAACUUACGCUAAUACCGCAUACGACCUACGGGUGAAAGCAGGGGAUCUUCGGACCUUGCGCGAUUGAAUGAGCCGAUGUCGGAUUAGCUAGUUGGCGGGGUAAAGGCCCACCAAGGCGACGAUCCGUAGCUGGUCUGAGAGGAUGAUCAGCCACACUGGAGCUGAGACACGGUCCAGACUCCUACGGGAGGCAGCAGUGGGGAAUAUUGGGCAAUGGGCGCAAGCCUGAUCCAGCCAUACCGCGUGGGUGAAGAAGGCCUUCGGGUUGUAAAGCCCUUUUGUUGGGAAAGAAAAGCAGCAGGUUAAUACCCCGCUGUUCUGACGGUACCCAAAGAAUAAGCACCGGCUAACUUCGUG
rnacentral:rRNA from 1 species